GAUUUCAGCCAGGCUGUGCCAGGGAGGGCAGAGGGCACCCCGGUCAGUCAUAGGGGAUGCAGCUGGGAACACAGCAGGGUCCCUGCCGGAUGCUCAGAGUUUAACGGGGAGACAGAGGCCCAAAGAGCCACACAGAGGGUUAAGAAAAAAAACAAACCCUUCCAGUCUGAUCAGUGACUGGAGAGCUCCAAGGAAAGUCUCUCAGUGACCUGGCUGCUGGCACCAUGGACUCAGAAAAGAAACGCUUUACUGAAGAGGCCACCAAAUACUUCCGGGACAGAGUCAGCCCAGUGCAUCUGCAAAUCCUGCUGACUAACAAUGAAGCCU
rnacentral:sRNA from 1 species